UUUAAAUGUAAUUUAUACAUAUGUGAAAUACUUGAAUUUUUUUUACGUAUUCUGAUUAAAUAAUUAUAUUAAUAUAUUUUUUUAGUAAUAUUUAUAGCUAAUGCAUUUUAUAUUGACUUAUAAACAUUUUUACAAUAAAAUAUUAGUUUUUCAGUCCCAGAUAGAUUUGGUAAACAACAAUAUUGUGUAAGCACCUUCAGUUACCGAUUGUCAAUUUUAGUUCUUGAUACGGAUGUAUGGCGGCGUUUUUAAUUGCGUUUUAGUGUGAUAGACACGUGUCUACAAAAACUUUUACGCUUAUGUUUGCAAUGUUUAUUUUUACAAAAACAAAAUGUCACAUUUAUUUCUGAGUUUGACACUGCAGACGUUUAAAUUAUUUAAGAAUUAAUAUCGAUAAUUGCAGGUAAAUUAUUCGACCGCAUUCAUGGAUGGCGUCGUCCUUACUUGGAAAAUAGAGCUGCUUCACGUACUUAAAAUAUUUUUGCAAGAGUUACUAUAUAGAAUACCAAAAAUCAAAUACUAAUUGGACACACCAAAAAAUAAAAAUGAAACAAUUA